rnacentral:rRNA from 1 species
GACGAACGCUGGCGGCGUGCCUAAUACAUGCAAGUUGAGCGAUGAAGAUUGGUGCUUGCACCAAUUUGAAGAGCAGCGAACGGGUGAGUAACGCGUGGGGAAUCUGCCUUUGAGCGGGGGACAACAUUUGGAAACGAAUGCUAAUACCGCAUAACAACUUUAAACAUAAGUUUUAAGUUUGAAAGAUGCAAUUGCAUCACUCAAAGAUGAUCCCGCGUUGUAUUAGCUAGUUGGUGAGGUAAAGGCUCACCAAGGCGAUGAUACAUAGCCGACCUGAGAGGGUGAUCGGCCACAUUGGGACUGAGACACGGCCCAAACUCCUACGGGAGGCAGCAGUAGGGAAUCUUCGGCAAUGGACGAAAGUCUGACCGAGCAACGCCGCGUGAGUGAAGAAGGUUUUCGGAUCGUAAAACUCUGUUGGUAAAGAAGAACGUUGGUGAGAGUGGAAAGCUCAUCAAGUGACGGUAACUACCCAGAAAGGGACGGCUAACUACGUG